rnacentral:tRNA from 1 species
ACCUGGUUGGCUCAGUGGGUAGAGCAUGUGACUCUUGAUCUCAGGGUUGUGAGUUUGAGCCCCACAUUGGGAG